rnacentral:rRNA from 1 species
UACGUAGGCAGCAAGCGUUGUUCGGAAUUACUGGGCGUAAAGAGUGUGUAGGCGGUUUUCUAAGUUCGGUGUGAAAUCUCCCGGCUUAACUGGGAGGGUGCGCCGGAAACUGGAGGACUGGAGUGCCGGAGAGGAUAGCGGAAUUCCUGGUGUAGCGGUGAAAUGCGUAGAUAUCAGGAGGAACACCUGUGGUGUAGACGGCUUUCUGGACCAUAGCUGACGCUGAGACACGAAAGCUAGGGGAGCAAACAGG